GGCCACCAAGGCAACGAUCAGUAGCCGGUCUGAGAGGAUGAACGGCCACAUUGGGACUGAGACACGGCCCAGACUCCUACGGGAGGCAGCAGUGGGGAAUAUUGCACAAUGGGGGAAACCCUGAUGCAGCGACGCCGCGUGAAGGAAGAAGUAUCUCGGUAUGUAAACUUCUAUCAGCAGGGAAGAGAAUGACGGUACCUGACUAAGAAGCCCCGGCUAACUAC
rnacentral:rRNA from 1 species